rnacentral:rRNA from 1 species
CCUACUUUGUUCAUCAUUUUUGAAUAUUUUGCAAUUUAUUAAACUCUUACCCAGCAACUCCGCGUGAAUUAUGAAGGUCUUCUGAUUGUAAAGUUCUUUUCUAAGGGAAGAAGAAAGUGACGGUACCUUAGGAAUAAGCCUCGGCUAACUACGUGCCAGCAGCCGCGGUAAUACGUAGGAGGCAAGCGUUAUCCGGAAUGACUGGGCGUAAAGGGUGCGUAGGUGGUUUGACAAGUUGGUAGCGUAACUCCGGGGCUCAACCUCGGCACUACUACCAAAACUGUCGGACUUGAGUGCAGGAGGGGCAAAUGGAAUGCCUAGUGUAGCGGUGGAAUGCGUAGAUAUUAGGAGGAACACCAGUGGCGAAGGCGAUUUGCUGGACUGUAACUGACACUGAGGCACGAAAGCGUGGGGAGCAAACAGGAUUAGAUACCCUAGUAGUC